UGGGGGAUAUUGCACAAUGGGCGAAAGCCUGAUGCAGCGACGCCGCGUGGGGGAUGAAGGCUUUCGGGUUGUAAACCUCUUUCGCUAUCGAACAAGGCCCGCUUAGGGUGGGUUGAGGGUAGGUGGAGAAGAAGCGCCGGCUAACUACGUGCCAGCAGCCGCGGUAAUACGUAGGGCGCGAGCGUUGUCCGGAAUUAUUGAGCGUAAAGGGCUUGUAGGCGGCUUGUUGCGCCUGCUGUGAAAACGCGGGGCUUAACUUCGCGCGUGCAGUGGGUACGGGCAGGCUUGAGUGUGGUAGGGGUGACUGGAAUUCCAGGUGUAGCGGAGGAAUGCGCAGAUAUCUGGAGGAACACCGAUGGCGAAGGCAGGUCACUGGGCCAUUACUGACGCUGAGGAGCGAAAGCAUGGGUAGCGAACAGG
rnacentral:rRNA from 1 species